GACGAACGCUGGCGGCGUGCUUAACACAUGCAAGUCGAACGGAAAGGCCCUGCUUUUGUGGGUUGCUCGAGUGGCGAACGGGUGAGUAACACGUGAGUAACCUGCCCUUGUCUUUGGGAUAACUUUAGGAAACUGGGGCUAAUACCGGAUAGGAGCUCCUGCUGCAUGGUGUGGGUUGGAAAGUUUCGGCGGUUGGGGAUGGACUCGCAGCUUAUCAGCUUGUUGGUGGGGUAGUGGCUUACCAAGGCUUUGACGGGUAGCCGGCCUGAGAGGGUGACCGGCCACAUUGGGACUGAGAUACGGCCCAGACUCCUACGGGAGGCAGCAGUGGGGAAUAUUGCACAAUGGGCGGAAGCCUGAUGCAGCAACGCCGCGUGCGGGAUGACGGCCUUCGGGUUGUAAACCGCUUUCGCAUGUGACGAAGCGUGAGUGACGGUAAUGGGUAAAGAAGCACCGGCUAACUACGUG
rnacentral:rRNA from 1 species